rnacentral:rRNA from 1 species
GAGGAUGCGAGCGUUAUCCGGAUUUAUUGGGUUUAAAGGGUGCGUAGGCGGCACGGCAAGUCAGCGGUAAAAUCGAGAUGCCCAACAUCUUCCCGCCGUUGAAACUGCCGCGCUCGAGUGGGCGAGAAGUAUGCGGAAUGCGUGGUGUAGCGGUGAAAUGCAUAGAUAUCACGCAGAACUCCGAUUGCGAAGGCAGCAUACCGGCGCCCUACUGACGCUGAAGCACGAAAGCGUGGGUAUCGAA